UACGUAGGGUGCAAGCGUUGUCCGGAAUUAUUGGGCGUAAAGAGCUCGUAGGCGGUCUGUCGCGUCUGCUGUGAAAACUCGGGGCUUAACCCCGGGCCUGCAGUGGGUACGGGCAGACUAGAGUGCGGUAGGGGAGACUGGAAUUCCUGGUGUAGCGGUGAAAUGCGCAGAUAUCAGGAGGAACACCAGUGGCGAAGGCGGCUCACUGGUCCGGUACUGACGCUGAGACGCGAAAGCGUGGGGAGCGAACAGG
rnacentral:rRNA from 1 species